rnacentral:rRNA from 1 species
GGGUAACCUCGCCCAAUAAAGGGAGGGGGGAAUAACAGUACCGGGAAACGGGUGCUUAAACUACCGCAUUAGUUUUUCUUGAUCGCAUGAUUGAAGAAAGGAAAGACGGUCCUUUGUGCUGUCGCUUAGUGGAUCGGACCCGCGGCGUAUUAGUUAGUUGGUGAGGUAACGGCUCACCAAGACGAUGAUACGUAGCCGACCUGAGAGGGUGAUCGGCCACAUUGGGACUGAGACACGGCCCAAACUCCUACGGGAGGCAGCGGUAGGGAAUCUUCCGCAAUGGACGAAAGUCUGACGGAGCAACGCCGCGUGAGUGAAAGAAGGUUUUCGGAUCGUAAAACUCUGUUGUCAGAGAAGAACAAGUUGGAGAGUAACUGCUCCAGCCUUGACGGUAUCUGACCAGAAAGCCACGGCUAACUACGUGCCAGCCGCGGC